UACGAAGGGGGCUAGCGUUGUUCGGAAUUACUGGGCGUAAAGCGCGCGCAGGCGGUUUUCCAAGUCAGUGGUGAAAGCCCGGAGCUCAACUCCGGAAAUGCCAUUGAAACUGCAAAACUUGAGUACGAGAGAGGUGAGUGGAAUUCCCAGUGUAGAGGUGAAAUUCGUAGAUAUUGGGAAGAACACCAGCGGCGAAGGCGGCGCUCUGGGCUGGCACUGACGCUGAGGAGCGAAAGCGUGGGAGCGAACAGG
rnacentral:rRNA from 1 species